rnacentral:rRNA from 1 species
UGAACGCUAGCGACAGGCCUAACACAUGCAAGUCAGGGGCAGCACAAGGAGCAAUCUGAGGUGGCGACCGGCGCACGGGUGAGUAACACGUAUGCAACCUGCCUGUAAGCGGGGAAUAACCCGUUGAAAGACGGACUAAUACCGCAUAAUACUAAAUUACUGCAUGGUAAUUUAUUUAAACAUUUAUGGCUUACAGAUGGGCAUGCGCAUGAUUAGCUAGUUGGAGAGGUAACGGCUCCCCAAGGCAACGAUCAUUAGGGGUUCUGAGAGGAAGGUCCCCCCGCACUGGUACUGAGACACGGACCAGACUCCUACGGGAGGCAGCAGUGAGGAAUAUUGGUCAAUGGACGAGAGUCUGAACCAGCCAAGUCGCGUGCAGGAAGAAUGUCCUAUGGAUUGUAACUGCUUUUGCAGGGGAAUAAAGUGCAUCACGUGUGAUGUUUUGUAUGUACUCUGCGAAUAAGGAUCGGCUAACUCCGUGCCAGCCGCCGC